rnacentral:tRNA from 1 species
GGGCUCUUAGCUCAAUUGGUAGAGCUGCGGACUUUUAAUCCGUAGGUUCCGGGUUCGAGUCCCGGGGGGCCCA